rnacentral:rRNA from 1 species
GACGAACGCUGGCGGCGUGCUUAACACAUGCAAGUCGAACGGAAAGGCCCUGCUUUUGUGGGGUGCUCGAGUGGCGAACGGGUGAGUAACACGUGAGUAACCUGCCCUUGACUUUGGGAUAACUUCAGGAAACUGGGGCUAAUACCGGCUAGGAGCUCCUGCUGCUUGGUGGGGGUUGGAACGUUUCGGCGGUUGGGGAUGGACUCACGGCUUAUCAGCUUGUUGGUGGGGUAGUGGCUUACCCAGGCGUGGACGCGUAGCCGGGCUGAGAGGAUGAUCAGUCACACUGGAACUGAGACACGGUGCAGACUCCUACGGGAGGAAGCAGUGGGGAAUAUUGGACAAUGGGCGAAAGCCUGAUCCAGCCAUGCCGGGUGUGUGAAGAAGGUCUUCGGAUUGUAAAGCACUUUAAGUGGGGAGGAAGGGCAGUAAGUUAAUACCUUGCUGUUUUGACGUUACCAACAGAAUAAGCACCGGCUAACUUCGUG